rnacentral:rRNA from 1 species
UGCAGUCGUACGCACUGGCCCAACUGAUUGAUGGUGCUUGCACCUGAUUGACGAUGGAUCACCAGUGAGUGGCGGACGGGUGAGUAACACGUAGGUAACCUGCCCCGGAGCGGGGGAUAACAUUUGGAAACAGAUGCUAAUACCGCAUAACAACAAAAGCCACAUGGCUUUUGUUUGAAAGAUGGCUUUGGCUAUCACUCUGGGAUGGACCUGCGGUGCAUUAGCUAGUUGGUAAGGUAACGGCUUACCAAGGCGAUGAUGCAUAGCCGAGUUGAGAGACUGAUCGGCCACAAUGGAACUGAGACACGGUCCAUACUCCUACGGGAGGCAGCAGUAGGGAAUCUUCCACAAUGGGCGCAAGCCUGAUGGAGCAACACCGCGUGAGUGAAGAAGGGUUUCGGCUCGUAAAGCUCUGUUGUUGGAGAAGAACGUGCGUGAGAGUAACUGUUCACGCAGUGACGGUAUCCAACCAGAAAGUCACGGCUAACUACGUGCCAGCAGCCGCGGUAAUACGUAGGUGGCAAGCGUUAUCCGGAUUUAUUGGGCGUAAAGCGAGCGCAGGCGGUUGCUUAGGUCUGAUGUGAAAGCCUUCGGCUUAACCGAAGAAGUGCAUCGGAAACCGGGCGACUUGAGUGCAGAAGAGGACAGUGGAACUCCAUGUGUAGCGGUGGAAUGCGUAGAUAUAUGGAAGAACA